rnacentral:tRNA from 1 species
UAGUAAGAUGCCUGAUAAAAGGAUAGUCUUGAUAGGACUAAUAAUGUGGAAACUCCCCUCUUACU